UAGAAACUCGAACUAAGACCAGCAUUUU
rnacentral:piRNA from 1 species